rnacentral:lncRNA from 1 species
GCGCACGCGGGAACUGGGAUCUCAACCCCAGGGCUAGGUGCCUCCUCCCGCUGCUUUCCGCCAGCUGCGGGGUGUGAGAUUAAUCCCCGCCGAUUAGCGCCAGGUGUACUAAGCGCUGGAUGGUUCCCUGACCAGAUGAAACAUCAGCCGAUGUUCUAAUGCCGGUCCCCUGGGCGCUGUCCCCGAGAGGGAAAACCUGUUUUCUGACCCCGGCUCUAGUCGGCCUCUGGAGGUCUGCAGCUGGGUUAUUUUACCUUUGAAACGGACGACACCUGCCCCGUGCACCCCAGCGGCUCCUCCACACGGAGAGAUGGUGUCAGUCAAAGGCCGUCUAGAUGACGAGUUUAUGAAAUUGUUCCUGGCCCGUGCCGGGCACGACCUUGCAGAGAGCCCAGAAGAUGAAACCCCAGCCCUGCCAGGAGCUCACCUGCUAAUUAGGAGGACAACGAAUCACCUCACCUCCCUAGACUUUGCUUCUCCUUUAUUCAGUGAGGGAUUGGACUAGCUGGUCCUUGAGGACUUUUCAGAAAGUCUGGUUCUGGGAGAUGACCAAUGGGAUCAUCUUAUGCUAUGAGCUUUCCUGGAAUGACAGGUAAUGGAGAGUGAGGAGAUUUUACCUGAUAUGGUCCUGUUUGCACCAUCAGCCAGCAACCUUUCUGGGAAGCGUGCUUAUUAUGUACCAACAUAAAAGCUUGAAUAUAAGGACUUUGGGAAGAUUCAAGAACAAUGUAGGGAACACGGGCUGUGGGAAGAGCCCUGAAUUGGAAUUCUACUGAUUCUCCCAGUCAUUCUCUAUGUGACCUUGGACAAAUGGCUUAGCCUCUGUAAUGGGUAGGGUUGGAUGUCAGGAUGGGUAAAUGAGAGUGAGCUGGCAAUCUCUGGUGUCUGGAUGAAUUGCUCAGGGCCUCUCUAUUCUACACAAUCUUGGGAUCUCUUUUAUCUUAGAAAUUUGUGCCUAGCUUGCACUUUACUCUAUAAUUUGCCCACUACAAUUUUUAAAAAUGUUUCAAUUUUAAAAUAAUAUGAUUUUAGAAAUAUGCACCAAAAUAGUUAUAGAUGAAACAAUAAGAAGUCUGGGAUCUGAUUCACAAUAAUCCUGGCAGGGAGACAGUGUAAGUAAGGAGACAGAAAAACACGGGUGGCGUGAGUUGCUGUGGCUGGGGAAUGGGCACAUGGGAGUUUGUGAUACCAUUCUCUAUACUUCUGUAGAGCACUGAAAACACAACUGAAAAUCUUUGCAGCCAUAAAAUAAAAAAACAAGAUCAUGUAUUUUUCAGGGACAUGGAUGGAACUAGUGUCGAUUAUAUUUAGCAAACUAACACAGGAACAGAAAACCAAAUACUGCUUGAUCUCACUUAUAAGUGGGAGCUAAAUAAUGAGAACACAUGGACACAUAGAGGGGAACAACACACACUGGGGCCUAUCAAGUGGUGGAGGGUGGAAGGAGAAAGAGGACCAGGAAGAAUAACUAUUGAGUAGUAGGCUUAGUACCUGGGUGAUGAAAUAAUCUGUACAACCAACCCCCAUGACACAUGUUCACCUAGAUAACAAGCUUACACAUGCACCAAUGAACUUAAAAUAAAAGUGAAUAAAUAAACGAAAAAAAAGGAAAAUCUUAAACCACCUAGAGAAAAAAGAUCACCUACAAAGGAACAAAAAUUAGAAUGACCCCAGGCUUCUUCACACCGACAAAGAAAGCCAGAAAACUAUACUAUAUAAUAUCUUCAAAGUGCCAAGGGAAAACAAUUGUCACUCUAGAAUUGAGUCAUCAGUACAGUGGUCUUUCAAGAAUGACAGUAAAUAACAUUUCAAACAAAAACUAAGGGAGCUCACUUAAGAGCACUAAAGAAACUUUUAAAAGCUGACUCUGCAAUGAAGAGAAGUGGAUGGGCCUCAAAGGAAGGUCAGACAUGCAAAAGAAAUGUAAGAAUGUAUGUAAAUCUAAACAGUUUGUAUAAAAUGAUGGCAGUCAUAGCCUCUGAUAAUGGUUUGGCUGUGUCCCCACCCAAAAUCUCAUCUUGAAUUGUAAUCCCCCUAAUGCCAGGUGUCAAGGGAGAGAUCAGGUGGAGGUAAUUGGAUCAUGGGGGUGGUUUCCUCCAUGCCGUCCUCAUGAUAGUGAGUUCUCACGAGGUCUCAAGGUUUUAUAAGGGAGAUUUCCCUGCUCUUGCUAGCAAUUCUUCCACCUGCUGCCUUGCGAAGAAGGCGCCUUGCUUCCUCUUCACCUUCCAUCAUGAUUGUAAGUUUCCUGCCUCCCCAGCCAUGCAGAACUGUGAGUCAAUUAAACCUCUUUCCUGAAUAAAUUACCCAGUCUCUUCAUAGCCGUGUGAGAACGAACUAAUACAGCCUCUAAUUUCUGGGCUAGAUAGAACUAAAAUAAUGGCCAUCAAAAGCCUGUAAUUGGGAAGGACAGUGAUUGGAAUGAGUGUCAAGACAGGACAGAAGGUUAUAAUGUGGUUUUACUUCACACUCUGUUAAGUUUAGAAUGCAUGAUAAAAGUCUACUUUUUGGUACCUAGCCCGGAGAACCCUUCACAAUUGUGUAUAAGGAGGCAUAUUUAAAAACGUUCUGGGGACAGUGGGAGGAACAGCAUCAGGAAAAAUAACUAAUGCAUGCUGGGCUUAAUACCUAGAUGAUGGGUUGAUAGGUGCAGCAAACCACCAUGGCACACAUUUACCUAUUUAACAAACUUACACAUCCUGCACAUGCGCCCCAGAAUUUAAUAUAACAAUAAAAAAAAGUUCAUGCUAGUAUUGCUUGAAUAGUAACAUCCUGGGAACAACUUCAGUGUUCAUCUACAUGGGAAAUGAUUUCUAAACUCUAGAAUAUCAAUACCACGGAACACUACUGGGAAUGCAGUAGAUCUGUUGGAACCAACAUUUCAGUGGGAAACAAACAAGUGUCUGAAACUUUUCAUACACAUAUUUAUAAAUAUCCCUUAUGAACAUCAAUGCAAAAAUCCUCAACAAAAUACUAGCUAACCAAAUUCAACAGCGUAUCAAAAAGAUAAUACACCGUGAUCAAGUGGGCUCCAUACCAGGGAUUCAGGGUUGGUUUAACAUACACAAGUCAGGCCGGGCACAGUGGCUUACACCUGUAAUCUAGCACAUUGGGAAGCCAUGGUGGUUGGAUCACUUAAGGCCAGGAGUUUGAGACCAGCCUGGCCAACAUGGCAAAACCCUGACUCUACUAAAAAAUACAAAUAAAUUAGUUGGGCAUGGUGACACACACCUGAAAUCCCUGCUACUUGUGAGGCUGAGGUAUGAAUAUCCUUUGAACCCGGGAGGUGGAGGUUGCAAUGAGCCAAGAUCAUGCCAUUAUACUCCAGACUGGGUGACAGAGCAAGACUCUGUCCCCAACCCCUGAAAAAUAUAUGAGUUAAUAAAUGUGAUACACCACAUAAACAGAAGUAAAAGCAAAAAUCAUGUGAUCAUCUCAAUAGACACAGAAAAAGCAUUUGAUACAAAUCCAGCAUUUCUUUAUUAUUAAGACCCUCAGCAAAAUUAGCAUGGAAGGGACAAAUCUUAAGGUAAUAGAAGCCAUCUAUGACAGACCCAUAGCCAACAUUAUACUGAACAGGGAAAAGUGGAAAGCAUUUCCUUUGAGAACUGGAGCAAUAUAAGGAUGCCCACUUUUACCACUUCUAUUCAGCUUAGUACUGGAAGUCCUAGCCAGAGCAAUGAGACAAGAGAAUGAAAUAAAGGGCAUCCCAAUUGGUAAAGAGGAAGUCAAACUGUUGCUGUUUGUUGAUGAUAUGAUCGUAUACCUAGAAAACCCUAAAGACUCAUCCAAAAAGCUCCUUUAUCUGAUAAAUGAAUUCAGUGAAGUUUCAGAAUACAAGAUCAAUGUACACAAAUCAGUAGCACUGCUAUACACCAACAGUGACUAAGCUGAGAAUCAAAUCAAGAACUCAACCCCUUUUACAACAGCUUAAAAAAAAAACUUAGGAAUAUACCUAAUCAAAGAGGUGAAAGAUCUCUGCAAUGCAAACUACAAAACACCCCUGAAAAAAAUCAUAGAUGACACAAACAAAUGGAAACGCAUCCCAUGCUCAUGCAUAGGUAGAAUAAAUAUUGUGAAAAUGACCAUACUUCCAAAAGCAAUCUAUAAAUUCAAUGCUCCAUCCAAAUUAUUUUCUCCAUCCAAAUACCAGCAUCAUUCUUCACAGAACUAGAGAAAACAAUCCUAAAGUUCAUAUGGAACAAAAAAAGAGCCUGCAUAGUCAAAGCAAGACUAAACAAAAACAACAAAUCUGGAAAUAUCACAUUACCCAACAUCAAACUAUACUAUAAGGCUAUAGUUACCAAAAAAGCAUGAUACUAGUAUAAAAACAGGUGCAUAGACCAAUGGAACAGAAUAAAACCCAGAAAUAAAGCCAAAUACAGCCAACUGAUCUUCAACAAAGUAAACAACAACAUAAAGUGGGGAAAGGACACCCUAACCAAUAAAUGGUGCUGAGAUAAUUGGCAAGCCGCAUGUAGAAGAAUGAAACUGGAUCCUCAUCUCUCACCUUACACAAAAAUCAACUCAAGAUGGAUCAAAGACUUAUAUCUAAGACCUGAAACCAUAAAAAUUCUGGAAGCUAACAGAAGAAUUCUUCCAGACAUUGGCCUAGGCAAAGGGUUCAUCACCAAAAACUUAAAAGCAAAUACAACAAAAACAAAUAUAAAUAGAUGAGACUUAAUUAAACUAAAAAACCUUCUGCACAGAAAAAGAAAUAAUCAGCAGAGUAAACAACCCACAGAGUGGAAGAAAAUAUUUGCAAACUAUGCAUCCAACAAAGGACUAAUAUGUAGAAUCUACCAGGAACUCAAACCAGCAAGAAAAAAACAAUUCCAUCAAAAAGAGGGCUAAGGACAUGAAUAGACAAUUCUCAAAAGAAGAUGUACAAAUGGCCAUCAAACAUGUGAGAAAAUGCUCAAUAUCACUAUCAGGGAAAUGCAAAUCAAAACCACAGAUACCACCUUCCUUCUGCAAGAAUGUCCAAAAUUUAAAAAUCAAAAAACAAUAGAUGUUGGUGUGGAUGUGGUGGAAAGGAAACACUUUUACACUGCCGGUGGAAAUGUAAACUAGUACAACCAUGAUGGAAAACCUUACGGAGGUUCCUUAAAGAACUAAAAGUAGAAUUACCGUUUGACCCAGCAAUCCCACUACUGGGUAUCUGCCUUCCCAAAAGAAGUCAUUAUAUGAAAAAGACACUUGCACACAUGUGUUUAUAGCAGCACAAUUCACAAUUGCAAAAAUAUGGAACCAGCCUAAAUGUCCAUCAACCAACGAGUGAGUAAAGGAAUUGUGGUGUAUAUAUAUAUAUACACACACACAACAUAAAAUACUACUCAGCCAUAAAAAAGUAACAAAAUAAUGGCAUUUGCAGCAACCUGGAUGCAGUUGGAGACCAUUAUUCUAAGUGAAGUAACUCAGGAAUGGAAAACCAAACACCAUAUGUUCUCACUUAUAAGUGGGAGCUAAGCUAUGAGGAUGCAAAGGCAUAAGAAAGAUACACUGAACUCUGGAGACUUGGGAAGGGGUGGGAGGGUGGUGAGGGAUAAAAGACUAUACAUUCAAUGCAGUGUACACUGCUUGGGUGAUGAGUGCACCAAAAUCUCAGAAAUCACCACUAAAGAAUGUAUCCAUCUAAGCAAACAGCCUGUUCCCCCAAAACUAUUGAAAUACUACUAAUAAAUAAAAAUUAUAUUUGUAUAUGUGUAUUUAUAGAAUGUAUAUAAAGACAAAGAACACAGGACUCUACAGCAAACAGGCAGGGGAGGAGGGCAGAGGAGCGAGGUGGAGUGGGGUGAGUGCAACUUUACCCUUGUUGGUCACAUUUCUACUCUUUUGUAAAGACACUGUAUUUGUGCAUUUUCUUCUGUAAAUAUAAAUUAAUGUUAGAAGAGUUCAGUGCAAUAAAAAACAAAAAACUGCAAGUUUAUGAAGAGCAGGGAUGUGUCUGUCUUGAACACCAUUUCACUGUAAGCACCUAUAGCACAUUAUAAAUGUUCAUGGACUGGAAGGGGAGAUCCCCAAAAUAUUAGCAGUCUUUUUAUCUCACUAGUGGGACAAUGUAUAAUUUAUUCGUUCCAAAUACUUUUCUCCAUUUUCCACUUUUCUAUAUGACAUUGAUAAUGGUAAAAAUAAAAUGAUGAACCAUGUUCUUAAGAAAUGUCUUCAUCCCCCAUUCUCUCUCACCCCGCCCCCUAGUGUCACCCAGAACCCAGGUGCAAGGCCCAGACUCACCAUCCCAUAUCAGCUGCAUAUCCUCAUCGUGGAUCUGGUGGAUGUUCACCCAUUUGACUGUGAAUCCUAAAGAUUCAUCUGCAGUCACGGGUGUUGCUUUCACACAGGGCCAGCCAAGAAAUUCUAGUAUAAAAAUGCCAGAAGUCACUACCAAGGAUCGAUAUACAUUUAGGAAAACCAGCACUACAGAUGAAAGGAAACGUUCAAGAAACACAACACCCAGCAUCCAGCCGGGCACAGUGGCUCACACCUAUUAUCCCAGCACUUUUGGAGGCAGAGGCACAGUAUUGCUUGAGCCCAGGAGUUCAAGACCAGACUGUGCAACAUGGUGAUCCCCAUCUCUACAAAAAAAUGCAAAAUUAGCCAGGCAUGGUGACAUGUGCCUGUAGUACCAGCUGGGAGGCUGAGGUGGGAGGAUCACGAGCCUGGGAGGUUAAGGCCGCCGUGAGUCAUGAUCCUGCCACUGCAGUCCAGCCUGGGUGACAGAUCCAGACCCUGUUUCAAGCAAGCAAAACCAAAAGAAAACCCACCAUCCAAGGAUGGAGUUAACAAUAAAAUCUGAACAAAACUUUAGAGAAAGUACUAUUGAAUCCCCAGAAACUUUUUCUUAAAAGAUAUUGAGUUCAGUUCCUAAAGUGCUUAGAAAUUCAAAAUUUGAAGUUAUAUAUAAAUCAAUAAAUAAAUCAAUACAGGCACUGGUCAGGCAAUAUCGCCACAGAAUAAUGAAAUAACUAUCAAGAUACCACAACAUCAUCCAGAAGAGAAAAAUAUAGAGUACCUUCUGCAUUAGAAAAACAAAAAGUUAAAUGAAAAUUCAAUAGGUGGGUUGAAUAGCAGAAUAACCACAACUAAAGGGUGAAUUCGUUAAAAGUGAAUCAGCCCAGAAAUUCUUCCAAAGUAGACAAAGAAAUGGGAAAUAUGGAAGAGAAAUUAAGAAACAUAGAGAAUAAAUCCAAGUAAAUUCCAAAAAUGGAACAGACAGAAGAGAAAAGAGGGCAUGUGAACCAAAAUAGUAGAAGAAAGUUUCACAGAUGAUGAGACCAGUAAGCUUUGCCUCAGUGCCCUGCCUCCCUCCACAUGACUGGGUGAAUGGCAAAGCAGCACCCAGCACCCACAUCUGAGGGGCCCUGUGGUGCAGCUCUUACCAUUUCCCCAGGUGGCCUCUGUGUAGGUGAUGGCCACUUAGUACUUCUCACUUGGACUAUAGCUCCUGACUUCCAAAUUCAGCAAUAUGGAAGAUAACAACCUUCUUACUCUAAACACCUUGAUAUACUAGAUAAAAUAUUAUAUAUAUGCAUAGCUGAGCUUGCAGGAGAGUAAGAGAAAUCUCUAGGGACCAAAAACAAAAAGUUUGCUGACACUCCACCUACUAGGGGUUGGAGGGCAUCACUGGUCCCAAUAACCCCCCAGGGCAUGGGUUGUAAUAUCUCCUGGGAUCCACAGCCUGCAAGCCACACAACCAGAAACGGAGGUGUAUGCACCGGGAUACAGAGAGAGCUCUGAGAGAAUCCCUCUAGGUAACACCCAAGGAGCCAGAAACACUUCACAAUGCUCAAAGGAAGUGAAGAAAUCCCUCGUUUCUUUUUCUCUCGGUCUCUCAAGCCUCAGCCUCCAAGCAGGCCCCAUGGGAACCUGCAGAAAACAAAACUGAGGGAGGGAAGCCCUCCUCUCCAUUUGCAGUCACUGUGGGCCCAAGAGGAUGAGGAAAAUUCCCAUUGCUUUAUUUCUUCUCUGCCGCUUGCCACUUAGCACCAGAUGUGGGGACAGUCACAGAAGUGCCUGGCACUGUGGAGCAACAAAAGCCCCAGCUUUCUGGCCACUGAAGAAGGGGAGCCCCAGGGAACUGUAAAGUACCAGGGAGGUGGCAGAGAGGAGGAAAGUGAUCCUAUAAAGGUGUUUAUGAACUCCCGAGCUCAUUACAUACCCAGGUCUGACCCUGACCAGCACGUCAUAGACAAUGAGAACUGAACUACAGGAUGGACUACUAUCCAGGUCCCAGGCUGGCUGGUGGCCCAAAUGCACAAUAGCAGAGGCUUCGAACCAAGAACUGGCAUUGGAAUCACAACCCGCGGACGGCUGACAGGAUUGGCAGCCUGAAGGUAAAUAGGUCAAUUGCCUGCUAAAAUUACCAGGACACUCUUGGAAGACCCACAGUCACAUAAUAUCAUAUUCAUAAUGUCUAUGAUUCAAUCCAUAAUCACUCAGCAUGCAAAGGACCAGGAACAUUUCAACUCACAUGGGAAGAAAAUGAACAUGCCCUGAAGUCAAGGGGAAAGAGAUUGGAAUUAUGUAAUAAAAACUUUAAAGCGGUUACUGUGCAAAGUGUUCCAAAAAGCCACGGUGAACACUCUUGAAAUAACAGAAAUAGUCUCAGCAAAGAAAUAGAAGACAUACAGAAAAACCGUGGAAAGCUUUAGAACUGAAAAAUAUAAGCUUGGGUAGGCUCCAUAGUAAAAUGGAGAUGCCAAAGGAAAGAAUCAGUGAACUUGAAAACAGAUCAAUAAAAAUUAUCCACUCUGAACAGAGAGAAAAAUGAUUCAAAACCAAAAGUAUCUUGUGACCUGAGACCAUAACAAAAGGUGUAACAUUUGUGUCGUGAGAGUCCUAAAAGAAGAGAAAGAGCAUGGUGGGGCUGAACAACAAUUCUAGAAAUAAUAGUAAAAACUUUCCAAGUUUGGUGAAAGGUAUCAAUUUAGAGAUUAAAGUUGCUCAGUGAACCUCAAACAGACUAAAACCAAGGAAAUGUAUGCCUAGAAACAUCACAGACUGCUGAAAGCAGAGACAAAUAUAAGGCCAAAUAAAGACAUUUUCAAAGACUAAAAAUGUUUACUACUAAGAGACCCUCACUGAAGGAACCACAAAGGAAGGAAAAACAAAAUAAAUCUAAAAGGGAGGAAAGAGCUGGAAGAAAGAAAUAUAAGCCAAGAAAUUUGUAAGCAUAUGGGUAGAUCUAAACCAGUAUUAACUGUACAAAAUCAUGACAGUCAUGAAGAUGAUGACAUAAAGAGCAAAUUUACAGGUUAAAUACAAAGGUGGAGCUUUAGCCCAGUAUUUUAAUACUGGGCAACAUUAGUAUAUCAUGUGGGAGGCUGUGAUCAGAAUUCAAGCAUUCAAAGAUCCAUGGAUUGUAUCAUUUGGAGGAAGGAAAAAGAUAUUAUCUUCAGACUUAGUUAAGUCAAGUAUAGUACACAUGGUAAAUUUUAAACAUAACAGAAAGAUAGGUGAGUCUGACAUUGGCCUUGCCACCAGCAGGUGUCCAAAGUCAUAGAGGAGAUGAGACCAAUACAAAAAUAGUUGAAAUCCAAGGCUCACAAGUUGAGAGAGUUAUAGAUGCCAGAGCUGGAGUCCCAUAAACCUGUGUCUCAGGGAUGUCAGGUCCUUCCCAGCUCUAAACUUGUGUCACCUGCAAGGAAGAUGAGAUGUGAGAAGGAGUGGGACAGGUCUGGUCAGUUCAACUUUCUGAGUCUUACGUUUCUCUUGCCAUGAGGACCCUGGGAUCCUAAGGCUUCUGUAUGAUUUGGGAGGGGGGUAGAGCCACUUGUUCUCUCCCCGCUUCACUCCAUGAGUGGAGUCUGCAGAAUAAGAUCCUUCGAGUCAGAACCAUCUUCAUAUCAGUCAGUUGGUUUCUUAUUUGGGUACCAGUGGCUCCUCCAGAAAAUUCUGGUGAGUCAGUGGAGGAGUGUGUGCUCCAUUGCAUGGAGUAAGUAAUGCAUUUGGGACAUGUCCUAUGCUCAGCUUCAAGUAGCCAAGUCUCCUUUCUUCUGUCCCUUGGUGACCUAGGCCUCGCACCACGGUGCCUUGCCCUAACCCAGUAUCCUAAGCUAAGCCCAUAUUGUGUCCAACUGAUCCUAGGGACCUGGGCACAUACAUCAUUAAUCAGUGGAUGCAGCUGCCUGGCAAUACUGCAGAAGAGUGGCUUGGUGUCCCUGCCCUGCAUAUGGCAGAGGAUGUUAUGCAGGUUCUUCACUGCCUGCAGUGCCUCUCACACUCAGUCUCCAAAUUCCCACUCAUUCUUCAAAAUGCAGUGCAGACAUCCCUUUCUCAAGAAGCCUCCCUUGUCCCUUGCCUCACCUCUAACCCAAGCCCCUCCCCACUGACCUCCUGUACCCGUGCAUACAUCCCCCUUCUCCCUACCACAUGUCAUUCCAAAUCUCAGCUGUAUCCUCUCCUUCUACACACUAGCUUUCUGGGAAUAGUGAGGAAUUCCAGUCAUGGUUGCAUCUCUCACAGCCGUCACAAACCCCAACACAUGUCAAUGCUUAAAUUGGUGUUGUUCACCCCUGCACUGACCUCUUUACAGUGCUUAAGACAUUCUUUUCGUGAGGAGAAAACUACACGUCCUUGGGCACACCUGCCAUGACAUCUUCUGAUUUUUAUAGGGACUUGUGUACAGGGUGGCUCAGCACAUUCAGUCUUCCAAUUGCCAUGCUCUAUUGUCUACCUCUAGAGCUAAACUUUUUCGUUUCAGACCCUCUGCAUAAUCUCCUUUUUAUUUUUGAGACAGGGUCUCACUCUGUCCCCCAGGCUGCAGUGCAGUGGCGCAAUCAUGGCUCACUGCAGCAUAGACCUCCCUGGCUCAAGUGAUCCUCCCACCUCAGCCUCCCAAAGUGCUAUGAUUACAGGCGUGAGCCACCACACCAGGCCCAUAAGUGGUGCUGUCCAGUGAGAAGAAUUAGGAGAAUGAAGAAUCCAUAGAGCACUCCCACCCACUGCUGCCCUUGUUCUCUGAUCAAACUAAUGCUUCCAUCUCAGGCAUCUGUACCCUGGCAGGUGAUAUGUUUCUCCACUGCCACCUGGAAGCUCCUUGGAGGCAGUUUGUAGAGAUGUGAUUUAACCCACAGCUUCCUGAUGACCCUUUGUGGGUUGUUCUACCUCACAGUCAUUAGGACCAAGGUACAAAUCUCCUCCAGUUCUCCUUGUGGCUUUUGGAAAGAGAAGGUUCCAAGGCUCAUCCCCAAGAAAAGUCCCCAGGCAUCUGCGAAUGAGCUUUGGUCAUUAAGUGAUUCUCUCCUAUCAGGAGGGCAGGGACUCACUUACCUCAACCUCCCACCCCGUCCAACAUACACCUUCCCAGUGAUGGAGGGAAAGAGCUCUCUAGAGGGUGCAAGAGGACAAGAGGAGAAGAGGAAGGGACCUGUUCUUAGUCUGUGAAGUCUCUGGCUUAUAUGUCAGGGUGAGGGUGGGGACCAGUUUCUGGAGCACAGAGCUUCUUCUGAAGCUGUGAGUAAACCAUCAGGAAGGUGGGAAGAAGUUGUGGAAGCAACUUUGGAAAUUCCCUGGUACCUCAGAGGUCUAGGUCAGAAGACAUGCGUGCCAAGGGAAGGCAAGGAAACCUACUCAUAGGUAGUAGGUAGCCAAGAAAAUAAAAUAGCAGAUUAAGCCAGUGUCAGGAAGGUAAGUACCCAAGUGUGUGGAUGGACAGGCAGGUAGAUGACAUGAAUACUUGGUCUAAAGGUGUGCAGGGCUGGGCGCUGUGGCUCAUACCUGUAAUCAGAACACUUUGGGAGGCAGAUCACUUGAGGUCAGGGGUUUGAGACAAGCCUGACCAACAUGGUGAAACCCUGUCUCCACUAAAAAUACAAAAAUUAGCCAGGUGUGGUGGCAGGUGCCUAUAAUCCCAGCUACUCAGGAGGCUGAGCCAGGAGAAUUGCUUGAACACUUUGGAAACAAUGUCACAAGCUGCGGAUAUAGUCCACGGUAGAACUGAAACGAUGACCUUAUUUCCUAGCACUGUGCCUUCAUCAACGGGCUUCUUAGCUCUUGGUCUCUAGAGAGAACCCCUCACAUACACACAUCAUGUUGUCUAUGCAUCAGCUAAGCACAGUACAGCUGGGGCCCCUUGCACACAGAGACCAAGAUGUGGAAGGACGGAAGCCAGGCCAGGCAGGGCCAGGGAAGCCACUGCCUCUCAUCUCCACUUUGCGCUUCCUGGCAGGAGCAGGAGAAGGUGAGGAUCUCAGCCACCUCUGCUGUGGGCCACAUGCUGCAGCAACUAAAAACAUGUAAGCCUGGAGGCAUCACCCCCCAAAAUUUUUUCACACUUCUGAUAUCAUUGGUGCUCAGCAUUCAGGAAAAUAACAUGGAAGUGCUCCAGGUACACUGGCUGUCACUUGUCUGGCCACUGCCAGGCCUGAUAUGUGUCCCCUUUCCUUGAGAGCAGGGCCCCUUCCCUGUGGCCAUUUCCAUGAGCCCAGCCUUGCCUGUAGGCUCUACAUUCACCUCUUUGACAUUGUCCUCUGGGUGGCUCUGAACAUAUCUGCCCUCUCUUUAUGACGGAAGGGCUUCCACUCAGCCCCUUGGCUGGAGAGUCACAGGAGUGAGGUUGAGGCCUCCCUUCUCUCCAUCCCAUAGGCCUGGGGAAAGGCUCUGGCGGUGUGGGCUGACAUGAUUGGCUGGUCCUCACUCAUCCAGCCAUUGCUGCGUGCCACGCUCAGCGACCACAUGCAUGUAGGUCCUGGAGGAAAUCUGCAAGUACCUGGUGAGUGAGGGUCUCAGGAGAGGCUGCACACAGUCCUCAUGCUGAGCCCUCAGUAGCGGGUUCCGUGGGCACAGAGGGGUGGGCUGCCAGAGAGAGGUUCCUGUGCUCCUUGUUUCUCACUCCUUCACAUGAGCCCACUCUGAGAACCCACAGCUGGGGUGCCAGUCCCUGGUUCUCUGUAUUUGACUCUCUGGGCAUCCAGAUCACUGCCUCAAAGGCUGGGGAGGUCAUGCCAGGUCCCUGGAUGGCAACUGGCCAGAGGUCUUCUGGUUGGAGUGGCAGGGAGAGAAGAGGGCAGGAGCAUCAGGCCUCUGGUCAGUUGGCAUGGGGUGAAGGGUCUGUGGCUCCUGCAAAUUCAAGAACAAGCCAGGGCUCAGGAAUCCCUGUUGAAAAGCAAACAUUUAAGGGCUAAGAAAGUAGGUUAAGAGCUCAGAUGAGUCAUUCUAAGGAUUUAUAGCAUAAAUCCUUCACAUAGGGGGAGCAUUUUACAAAGCACUUUUCCAUUUAUUACCCACGGGCACUUGUCAUGGUGUGUGGGAGGUUGGGCGGGAUUGCCUUCCACUCUACUCUCAAGAAAGUGAAGCCAGUGGGUGCCAGGUCCAACUUUCAAACCCAAGGCUCCCAGCCCCAUGGAGUUGUUUUCUCUCACAUCCUGUGGGUUCCCAGAAGCAGUAAACUUCCUGCUGCAGAGGGGUGGGGGUCUGAGUCUGCAGGGUCCAGCAGUCAGAGCUGCCUGAAGAUGCACUGCUGCUGCUGGGGACAGUGGGGAGGCCGUGGCUGCCAGGAGGCCUUCUGCAGGACUCCCAGUGGCUCCUCUCCUGGUCAGCACCGCCCAUGGCUGUAGAAGGAGAGGUUGCCAGGAAGAGGGUCUCUGCAGAGGGAGUCUAGAAAGUGCAAACAUUCCUCCCACAUAAGAAACUUUUCAUCUUCCUUGAAGCAGAGGGCAAGGUCGCUGGGAGCUGGGGCUGGCGAGGGGCGAGUCAGUAGGAAAGAAAGCUUCAGGAGACCGGCGAGGGUCUGUCAUAGCCAUUGGGGGAGUAGGACAUAAAGCUGGCCAGAGACCACAGGACUUACGGGCAGCACCAAGGACGAAGCAGAGGCCAGGAGCUCAUACCCGUCUAGAUCCAUGAGGCCAUGUGGUCUCAGCAGCGCUCAGCCGCCCCACACAGGACAGAGAAGGUGGCAGCUGGACUGAGUCAAGGGGAGUCCUCCUGUGAUUGUCCCCAGGGGCAGACGGUGAGGUCAAGGGGAUGAGGGAUUGCUGAAGUAACUGAUGGGAUGGGCCAUGGAGAAGCAAGUGAAGAGGCUGAGGGGACUCAGGGAGGGUCCUAGGAGGAAAUAGAAAGCCUAAGUCCUUGAUGUGGCACAGGGCCACUGGGUAACAAGGCGGAGAACAGCAAGCACAAGAAAUUGUCAAGGAGGAGACACCAGCCUGCGGCUUCAAGAGGUGGUGUAUUACUCAUUGCUAAGGAGGAAGAGGGUAAUUGGACUGGGAUGCUGGAGAUGGAGCCCUGGGCUCUAGCCAGCAUAGGGCUGCCAGACGUAGCCACCAGCUCUGAAUUCUCAACUCCGAUUCUGGGAUAAUAUCCUGACUUUGCUGAGCACAGAUCUUUUUUUUUAUUAUCAUUUUUCAAUAGAGACAAGAUCUCCCUCUGUCACCCAGGCUGGAAUACAGUAGAGGGAUCAUAGUUCACUGUAACCUCAAACUCCCAGGCUCCAGCAAUCCUCCUGCCUCAGUCUCCUGAGUAGCUAGGGCUGCACAUGCAUGCCACCAUGCCCAGCUAACUUUUUAAGUUUUUAGUAGAAAUGGAGUCUCUCUAUGUUGCCCAGGCUGGUCUCAAACUCCUGGCCUCCAGCGAUCUGCCUGCCUCAGCUUCCCAAAGUUCUGAGAUUGCAGGCUUGAGUCACUGUGCCAGAACUAUGCAUACCUUUGACUUAAUAGCAACCUUGACCUGGAGCUCAUCCUUUAAAAAUCAAAUUUUAAAAAAAUAUGAUUUCAAAACCACACAUAGUAAAGAAUUUGGAGAAUACAGAACACCAACACAGAAAAGAUUAAUACAGAAAAUCAAUACAGAAGAGAAGUUAGAAAUCUCCUGCAAACCUACCACUGGGAUUUAGACAUGAUUAAUUUGGGGUUAGCUCUUUCCAGUUUGCCUUUUUUUUUCUUUUUCUUUUCUUUAUUUUUUUAAUUUUUUUUUAUUUUUUGCCUAUUCAGGAGCAUUUUAGUAAUGUAUCCUCCAACUUACUGGGGCUUGGAGCUCUGUGACUCAGUUUUCCUGGUUAGAAGAUAUGAUGGCCACAUGCCAACAAAUUUCUGGAACAGCUUUCAUGUGGUUUCCUCAUACCUGCAGCCAGGAGGGCUGCAUAUCUCUCCAUCCUAGGCAGUGAGGAUCAGAGAGCCGGGUGAUGGGUGCAGAGCCAUGCAGCAGGCCCAUGGGCUCCAGGGUUCCUCACCUUAACCCAAGUGGGUGCCAGAGAAAAAUCUCACCUCGAGAGGAGGCACAGACACCAGGCUGCCAGGGCCGUGCACCACAGGUCAGAUCCAUCCAGAAUCUCCCACGAGCUGUUCUCAUGCCUCUGUGACACAAAGUCAGAAAAGCAGUCAGUCCCAGAAGAGAGUUUACAACUUGCUUUUUGAGCCAAUCAGACCUUUGAACAAAAUGUCCUCUUUUCCACAGUGUAUCUGUCCUAUUCACCUUCAGUUUGGAGAGCUGUUCUGACCUUUCUUAACGAAAUGAGUGUCUCCCCUUCUUCGGCGAAUAAUAAAUUCAGUGUCUGCUUUAGACAGCUUUGGUGACCUUUGUGUUCUUCUGUGGCAUGAACCUCGCUUUAGUCAUCGCUGUGGCCAGUGGAUAGCCACUCUCUUCUGAGGGCUGUCACAGAAUUCCUCCUUCUGAGAGGUUUAUUGGUGAUGGGGUAGGGGGUGGUCAGGGGUCCCAAGCCUCCCGGGCGAAGGCCAAGCCCUGCUUUCUUUACCAAGUUGCUCAGAGGUCUCCACUUGCAAAUCAUUAGCCUCAUUGGGUUGGCACUCGUCCACUUGCAUUUCUAGCUGGGACAUUCUCUUCUAUGAAAAUAGUUUGUGGAUAUGACGAGUGGGCAGAGGAGUUUGUUUCUGUUAAGGAGUUGCUGAUGGUAGGGCAAUGAUUCCAACUUCCAUUGUUCAGCCAGAUUCCUUCAUUCCCCAAACUGCUCUGGAUUUAGCCUAAUCUUGGAAGUCAGAGUCCUGUUUGACUAACGAGAAAAAUCAGAACUUCUGGGUAAAGUUACCAGACAUUCACUAUUGGGAGGAAAUAGCUCCAGACUUGGGCUUGCCACUGUCCUUCCUUGCCCCCUCUUGGAUGGAAUAGUUGGGAACUCUUCCCCUCCCUACCUCCCCAGUCUUCCCCAGGGUGAGAAGAGCUUUUUUAUUCCUAUUAGCCAUGAUUUCAAGCCAACAUUGAAAACGUUUUGAUUUCCUGGAUCGUGGGGGAAGCUUCUGUCUGGGCAUCCCAGCCUCACAUACUGAGUGCCUCUUCGAGCCCUGUGUGGUGAAUCAAGUGUGCCCUCCUGAAAGCCUCCUUGACUCCAGGUGCAGUCAGUGUAUUUUCUCCUACACUAUUGGAAUCAGGGCUUCUUGAAUCAAACCUGCAAAUUUAUGCAAACACUAUGCUAACAUUUUUGACAAAAACUGGCAAAGGAAGGCCUUUUGCAGGUGAAGUGCAGCUAACACCUAAUGGCUAGCAGAGGGCUGUUUGGGGUGGGGACUCAGGUGAGAGUUGAAGCAGAGGAGUGGGAGGAAGGAGGGUUGGUUGGUGUCUGCAGCAGUGAUGGAAGAUGCUGGGGCCUUCCUCCUCCCCUGCCUUCCAACAUGGGAGUAACCAGUGAAGGAGCAGACAGAGAGUCAGGGACUCCCUGUCUCUUUUUCACAGUUGAGACAUCUUCAGAGCUGGGGUGAGGACUGAAUCUCUUAGCCCCUCUUGAGAUGCUCCAGAUGCCGCAUCUAGUACAGAGUAUGAGGUUGAGAGGCCCCCAUGCCCUCCGGCCUUCCUAUGCUAUUACAUUCACAUCAUACUCUACCACAUCGUCAUUCACUUCACAUUAAAGCAUCUUAAUUGUCCCCUGGAAGGUUAAGCUGUGUGGUUCUUACUUUUCUAUGAUCUGUCUUUAUCAAAGAGCCGUUUACCCUUUAAAUCUUAACAUUGGAAGGUCCUUUAGUGAUCACCCUGUGCGAUCCCUCUGUUUUAUGCAUGAGGGGACUAAGACAUGAAGAAGUGGUUUACCCCAGUUCUCAGACCCAGACUCCAAACCAGUCAUAAUCCCGCUAGGUGACAUUACUUACUGGACAACAGGCCCCCGGCAAUCUAAGUGCCACUUGAGAUAUCAUGGGAGCAAAAACUACUUGUCUUCUUUUAAAGGCAAGCAUCUUUAAAAGAGGUACUUUGGGUCAAGAAUGAUUUUGUAAGUGCACACCCCUGUCACUUCCAGCGAGGGACCCUGGAAGGUAAACGAACAAUCCUAACAAUGCCCAGCACUCACACCAUGCCCUUCCUCUGAGGCGUGCUCUGAAGAACAAUCUUGCUUGUCCUUGGAAUCAUCCUUGUGAAGGUGUGGGAGGGAGGGACCAUUAUCCUCAUCUUUAGAGGAGAAUCCAGGCACUGAAAAUAGACAACAACCCGCACAGUGGUCAGGCUGGCAUUAGGCUCAAGGCCACAUGCGUGUUGGCCCUGGCCCAUUUCUUGUGAGCUGUGGAGAACCAGUUACCUCCUUAACCCAGGGCCACGGUGUAGCCAAGGGACAUCUGGAGGGUGACACUCUUUGCUUUUAGGUCUAGAAAGGGGAGAGGAAACAAGAGAGAAGAGGAAGCAGCAGAAAAAGGGAAGGGAGGAAAGUGGAGAUAAAGACAGGGCCUGGCAGGGGCAGGAUAGAUGCUAAUGCCUUGCCACUGCUCUUAAUGUCGGCAUGUGGAGAGCCUGGCUUGGCAGCUCGGUUACCAGCCUUUAGGGCUUUGAUGCCUUCCUGUCAUCACCCAGCAUUAUUGGAAAUUCACUAGGGUUUUAUAUUCAGAAGAAAACAGAGUCCCUCCCCUUCAUUUCUGAGCAGGAGUAGCUCCCACUGUCAGCCAGCCUUUUCCUCCCCUCAGAGCACAGUUUAUGACAGUUCAAGUUUUGUUCUCUGUUCUGUAAGCUGCUGUUGUGCAAGGGAGGAGAACAGGUACUCGUGGGUGUGCUAGAGCUGAAACGUGUUUAUCUGAAUCUGAACAGUGGGUGCUUUCACACACACACACACACACACACACACACACACACACAGAGAGAGAGAGAGAGAGAGAGAGAGAGAGAGAGAGAGAGAGAGUGGUAUUCAGCACCUUCCCUUAGGGCUGCAAGGCUCCUCAUCUCCCCUCCUGCAGCAGCAGAUCUGGGCUCCUGUUGAAGACAAGCCCUCACAGCACUUGGGCGGACAUCAUUUACCAGGCACAUCAAAGGUUGGGAAAGAUGUGACUAAUGAGUCUAGCUUGUGCAAGACUCAUCCUCUUACCUCCCUCUCACCAUCACAUUCCCAGUCCCACUAAAGCAUAGGAUUCUGGCUGAGUCUUUGGCUAAAAUGAGUAGUGGCAACUCCUCUUGUUUAGGCAUCCAAGCACACACCACCAGAUCCAGCAAGUGCACACCAACUCCACUUCAGCUAAUUUAUGACUUCAAAGGUGGUCUAGAAAGGAGACCUUUACAACAGAAAAGCUUCCUGGACUGCAGGCAGAGUUGUGCCAAUGCAUUCAGGCCAUAAUUCUGAUUGCUCCCCAUAAGCCAGGAAACUCACUACUCACUAUGCCCACCUUGCUGUUUGCCAUCACAGAAAUGCACUUGAGUUGCUCACCUGCAUUGCUACAGUUAAACCACAGGCUGCAGGUGCAGCACUCUUUCCAGGGUGUGCAGGGGAAAUGGCAUUUGUUAUUUGAGUAAUGUGUCUCUCUCCAUCCCCAGAGUCGGUAAACAAACAAGUUAUCCAUGGAGCAAGCUCUUCCCUUUUGGCAUCUUUCAGUUUUUGAGUGGCAGCUCUGCAAUGAGGCCACUGGCCAUCCCUCAGCUGUGUAGAGAACAGGCAUUCUUGGCCCUUGGAGUCCUGCUGUAGCAUUUUCAGGAUGCCAAGUUAUUGGUGGGGACAGGUGCCCAAAAUUCAGCAUAACACACCUAAGCCUUAUUUCCCUUUUUCUGGACACUUCUUGAUUUAGGAAUAAAAGCCCCUUCCUCCUCCUGGGCUGGGCUGGCCUGUAAACAUCUCAGUCUGAGUUUGCUGAGUGUUGCAUUCAGGCCAUAAUUCUGAUUGCUCCCCAUAAGCCAGGAAACUCACUACUCACUAUGCCCACCUUGCUGUUUGCCAUCACAGAAAUGCACUUGAGUUGCUCACCUGCAUUGCUACAGUUAAACCACAGGCUGCAGGUGCAGCACUCUUUCCAGGGUGUGCAGGGGAAAUGGCAUUUGUUAUUUGAGUAAUGUGUCUUUCUCCAUCCCCAGAGUCGGUAAACAAACAAGUUAUCCGUGGAGCAAGUUAUCAGUCUGAGUGUUGCUAUAUUCAGUUGCUAGUUUCCAUUCCAUAUGAUGAUGUGUGACAGGACAGCUCACCCUGUGAGUUAGCAAGGGGUUUUAAGUAAUAUGCUUUCUGAUGGAAAGGACGACAAAGAUUCCUAUUAUUCACCAGUGAGCCUGGAGACUGAGCUGGUCCAGUUUUGAUGACUGAGCCACAGCAAUGUCAAUCUCAUGUGCUCUGUCACUACUUCCCACUGUGGCUUGACGAAAACAGCCUCAAGGGCCCUGCAGAAGCGCUCCAGCCACGCAGUCAGGAGACUUGCCAACUCAGUCUGUCCAAGGCCUCUGUGACAUUGGAACAAAAAUAGGUCUGUGUGCUAGCCUCAGCUUCUGCAUCUGCAAAGAGAAGUGGUUAACAAAAAUUAGGGGUAGCAAGUAAUGCUUGCAGCUUUCAGUUAUAGACAUGCACAGAUAUUGCUGUUGGUGAAAGCAUCCACAGAACACCAGGCAACACGCCACUGAAAGAGAGCGGCAUUUUUUUUGCUCCUAUUCUUCGAAAUGCCAGUGGAGAUAAACUGAUGCUGCUAUUUGUGUUUUCCUGGACUAUUUCCUUGUGAAGCCUUCCAGUCAUUAAAUGCUCACUCCAUCUUCUUUCAAAAGUGACUCAGCGUGCGGCUGAGAAGCAGCAGCAGCAGGAUCACCUGGGAGUUUGUGAGAAUGCGGAACCUCAGGCUCCCCGGCUUUCCUGCUGAAUCGGAACGCGCUGUUUCACACUCUCCCAGGUGAUUCGCAUGUGUUUAACUUUAGAAGCACCCGUCUGAAGUUGUGUUUGUCAAACCUAAGUGAACAUCAAAUCCCUGCAAGGCUCGUUAAAACCUUGCUGGGCCCCACACCCAAGUUUCUGAUUCAAUAAGUCUGGGUCAGGGUCUGUGAAUUUGCAUUAUAACAUUUCUAACUUUCCUGGCGAUGACACCACCUGUCCAGGACCAUACUUUGGGAACCUCUGGUAAGUCUUCCUUGAGCAGGUGUUUUGUGACACCUUAAUUCCCAGGUCACCGAGAAUCUAGAGCAUCUCUAUAAUAUGUAUGCUGGCUUCUUCAAUCUCCAGAAUUACUGUGUUCUCUUAAUCAUCUUUGAUCUCUUUCUUGAUUUCAGUAUGUUUCUCUCUCUUUGUCAUUAGGAAGCCCUAGUCUCAGAAAGCCAGUUAGUUCUGUGCUGUGCAAAAAUGGGAGGAUUUCAUGAAAAUCCUACUUUUCUCUCCCAUGUGGUUGUUCUAAAAUUCUACCUGUUUCUUCAUCUGGAGUUACACCGCUGGUCCCUGAGGGGCUUGUUACACUCCUCCUCAGAGCUAGUGAACAUUGGCGGCUGGUGUGUAAUCUUCUGUGCCUGUUAUAUGUGUGUACAUACCUUGGCAUUUACAUGUAGAAAUAUGUUUUGGAUUUCUUAGGCCGGGCACGGUGGCUCACGCCUGUAAUCCCAGCACUUUGGGAGGCCGAGGCGGGCAGAUCACGAGGUCAGGAGAUCGAGGCCAUCCUGGCUAACACAGUGAAACCCCGUCUCUACUAAAAAUACAAAAAAUUAGCCAGGCAUGGUGGUGGGCGCCUGUAGUCCCAGCUACUCAGGAGACUGAGGCAGGAGAAUGGCAUGAACCUGGGAGGCGGAGCUUGCAGUGAGCCGAGAUUGUGCCACUGUACUCCAGCCUGGGCGACAGAGUCUCUCAAAAAAAA